GGCGGCAUGGCUAAAACAUGCAAGUCGAACGAUGAAAGCACCUUCGGGUGUGCAUGAAGUGGCGAAAGGGCGAGGAAUACGUUCCUACGUACCCCAAGGUCAGGGAUAGCCCCGGGAAACUGGGAGUAAUACCUGAUGAUAUCUCCGGAUUAAAGGCUUCGGCCACCUUGGGAGCGGGGAACGCCCUAUCAGGUUGUUGGUGAGGUAACGGCUCACCAAGCCUUAGACGGGUAGCGGGUGUGAGAGCAUGACCCGCCGCAUCGGGACUGAGACACUGCCCGGACUCCUACGGGAGGCUGCAGCAACGAAUAUUCCGCAAUGCGCGAAAGCGUGACGGAGCAAUGCCGCGUGCGGGAUGAAGCGCUUCGCAGUGUAAACCACUGUCAGAGGCUAGAAACAAUGACCAAACCCAAAGGAAGGGCCGGCUAACCUCGUGCCAGCAGCCGCGGUAAGACGAAGGGCCCGAGCGUUAAUCGGAAUCACUGGGCUUAAAGCGUACGUAGGCGGACGUGAAGGUGCCUUGUGAAAUCCCUCGGCUCAACCGAGGAACUGCAAGGCAAACCACAAGUCUUGAGACAGGUAGAGGUCGUCGGAACGAUAGGUGGAGCGGUGAAAUGCGUAGAUAUCUAUCGGAACGCCAACGGAGAAGACAGACAACUGGGCCUGUUCUGACGCUGAGGCACGAAAGCGUGGGGAGCGAACGGGAUUAGAUACCCCGGUAGUCCACGCCGUAAACGAUGCGCACUAGGUUGGGGAAGCUCUGACGCGUUCCCGGCCGAAGCAAAAGUGUUAAGUGCGCCGCCUGGGGAGUACGGUCGCAAGGCUAAAACUCAAGGAAUUGACGGGGGCUCACACAAGCGGUGGAGCAUGUGGCUUAAUUCGAAGCAACGCGAAGAACCUUUCCUGGGUUUGACAUGUAUGGAUUAGCCCUCCGAAAGGUGGGUGACACCCUCGGGUGGAACAUACACAGGUGCUGCAUGGCUGUCGUCAGCUCGUGCUGUGAAGUGUCGGGU
rnacentral:rRNA from 1 species